GACGAACGCUGGCGGCGUGCCUAAUACAUGCAAGUAGAACGCACAGUUUAUACCGUAGCUUGCUACACCAUAGACUGUGAGUUGCGAACGGGUGAGUAACGCGUAGGUAACCUGCCUGGUAUCGGGGGAUAACUAUUGGAAACGAUAGCUAAUACCUCAUAAUAUUAAUUAUUGCAUGAUAAUUAAUUGAAAGGUUCAAUUUCACCACUACCAGCUGGACCUGCGUUGUAUUAGCUAGUAGGUGAGGUAACGGCUCACCUAGGCGACGAUACAUAGCCGAACUGGGAGGGUGGUCGGCCAAACUGGGACUGAGACACGGCCCAGAAUCCUAAGGGAGGCAGCAGUAGGGAAACUUCGGCAAUGGACGGAAGGCUGAACGAGCAACGCCGCGGGAGUGAAGAAGGUUUUCGGAUCGUAAAGCUCUGUUGUAUGGGAAGAAAGGGUGUGAGAGUGAAAAGUUCACACUGUGACGGUAUCUUACCAGAAAGGGACGGCUAACUACGUG
rnacentral:rRNA from 1 species